ensembl:lncRNA
GCUUUUCUGCUUGGAGAUCACCUUGUUUGGAGUGUUUCGUGAGCUCUGAUCCCUGGCAAAGGAUCAAUCCAUUAAAAUACCACUGCAGAAUGAAUACAUAAUUGUCUGAAGUGCAGGGGCACAAAAGCAGUUCACCACGAAUGCUGGCAGUUGCAAAUCAGUUGCAUUUGUUUCUUCCUUUAACUAGCAUCCACUGCAACCUGAUAGUGCAGCAAACUGCAUGAAGAUGGUACAGACAGAUGCCAAAAAAGAGGGCCCCCAUCAGCCCCGUGUGCCCCGCUGUGAACCACCAACACGCCAGGGUGCUGCUGAAAAACAAAUGGAAGCUGGCAGCAGCUGAAGGCCUGUGGUGGUUGACCAAUCUGCUCUGAGCUGUUCCAGGAGCCUCCAGAGGACAAGAGGUUUGACAACUUUAUUUCAAUAUAUACUGGGGGGAUAGAAACUGGAACAGUGUAUGUCCUCUGUGGUAUGGCACAAAAUAGAGAAGUACUUGGUGGAUGCUGCUUAUAGCCCAGGUGUCUCCUAGGUGCAACGUGGCCCCAUACCUAAGCUAUCUCCUACACUUAGUCUCUUACUGAGUUUGGAUAAGCUAAAUAUAUACUCGUCCGUGCUUACAGCUUACAGAAUUCUCUGUGUGAGCUGCCUGACAGAAAAGAAAUAUUUUGAUUUCGAGUCCUAAGGGAGGAGAAUGAGGUACAAAUGCUCCCUGGGGAUGGAGCAGUAAAAAGAAGUGUGCAGAUGCAAGUUUGGCUUGUUUCAAGGAGCUCUUUAAAAAAAAACCAAACAAACAAACAAAAAAACCCCAUAGUUUUCUGUUUUAAGUGGUUCUUUUUGAAGAGAUGGGAGAUCUUGUUGGUGCUCUGAGUGCAAACUCUAGUGCCAGGUUCCACCAACAGGCACUGUAAAUAAGUGGGGCUGCUUGCAGCAAUAGCUGUAUUGGUGGAGUGCAGUGGAAAGUUGGUUUACUUCUCAUCUCUUGUGAAAAGCUUUCAGAUAUGGAGACAAAGAAUAUUGAAGCCAGAUACCUCUCACUUUCCAAGCACAGUACAUACUUUCCCUUCUUUCUUCAAAGGUAGUUCCUCUUGCAAAACUCUGUGGAGAACAAUACAAUAAUCAGCUCUUAACAUCUAAUUAUGCUUUUCCCUUUACAAAAGAAACUCAUAUUCUUAAAUAACACUUCCUGGCAGCAGAGAGCUCUGUGGCUCACUUUGAAAGAAAGGGGAAAACAAUGCAACCCAGCCCAAAUAUCUUCAGAUCAUUAAUGUACAGGGAAUUGGGUGCAGAAUCCUUUCUUAGCUUCAUCACUAGAUGACAAUAAUACUUACCCUUGAGCUCUUGGCUGUGUUCUUGUACUGAAUGCCAACAAUAAUCUAAUCAGUUAACAAUUCUCAUUCUGAUGAUCAUUUUCCUGUGAAUUGUUUCAAUGGUAGAAAAAAAUAUAAAUAAAUGAGUUGCUUGUGCUGGAAAGACGAUGGCUGAUGGAGGGUCCGCUCUUUUGGCUCCUUAUAACAGUUCAGAUUCUUCUGCCUGGUGGAUGAAAUGUCAACCUGCAGGGCUGUAAUCUAAAAGAAAAAGUCCCUUUACAAUGAAAUCUUAUCCCUGUUUUGCCCAGAGGUGUUUCAUAGCCCAGGCAAAGCACUUGAGUUCUGCAACUACUGGACUACAUGACAACUUCCCUUUGUCUGUGCUGCAGGAAUAGGGUUGGGUUUGUUUCUUAAUAUAAAUAAUGUUUGGAUUUUUUUUUUCUCUUGUGGAGUAAAUUUCAGCCCCAAAAUGUAUGAUAUGUGCUGCAUUUGGUGCACUCUCCCUGAGGCAAACCAGGGGAUCUGUAAGUGGUACUAUUUUUCCUAUCAGCCCUGGAGAGUAGUGUGGCAGCCCUGCGUGUUAUUAAUGGAUAAAAUCUGAGCAGCAGCCAACCCCAAGGUGAACCCUAUGCAUUUAAAACAUUUCAUCAGACAGCUAAGUAUUUUUUUUUCCUUCACUACAGCGGAUAUCUCUACUGCCACCACUCAAUAGAUCCCGAUAGAAGAGAGCAAUAGCUAGACUCACUAAUGUGAAAAUUGAUAGUAUGAGCUCUCCAAUGAAAUAUAAACAGCUCUGUGUUUCUUAAGUGUCAAUAUCACGGGGCUGGGCUGAGGAGGUGGUGCGGUGGAUUAACCCUAGAAUUAUCCAGGAGGGGGGAAAAGCUGGUAAAUAGGAAAUAUUUGUCCAAUCAGCCAGGGCUCAUUUCUGAAGUGGAUAAGAUGGGCUGCUGUUGACUCUCAGCUGCUGUCAGAUAGAAACCCAGCUACAGUUUACAGCUCCUGUUAUUGGAGUGUUUCUGGAGGUGGGAGGAAGGUCAGACUGGGCUCUUCUUUCCCCUGGAAGAACUGGGUAAAAGGGAAGACAAAUGGUGUGAGAAUUAGAACUGCAACUUUCAAGAUGCCUUUGCAGAUGCAGCCGCCCUGCACUGAGAGCUGCUCCUGGCAAGCUGCAACACUGCUGUCGGAACAGCAUUUAUUAGAAGAGCAGCUUACUCUGGAGGGAAAGCCUGCAACAUGCAGAAUAAUAAUCUUUGCUUAAGGAGACCUGGGACCUUGCCCACCCACAUAACCGGAUGGUCCCUGCAUGGAGAGGGAGACAGGCUGGAGGAUGUUUUCAGGGGGUCUGGUUACCUAAACUGAUUUACUGUUAUUGUUUCUAUUUACGGAUAAUGAAGGAAUGUGACAGUGCUCCUUCUGUUCUGGCUGUGAGAAACUGAAAGCACCGAAGUCAGUUUGCUUGGUGAGCAGCGGAGUCACCUCCUGGUCCUGAUAGGUGAGCUGGAUGAGACCAGGUGUGUGUUACAAAUAACCCACAGCAACGUUGUUCUUUUGACAAAGAAAUGGUUUCCAUGGAAACUUUUAAAUAUACCCAAGAUUAUGUAAGUUUAUAUCCAAUAUACCUCCAGAACAUUUAUAUUGAUAGAUUUGCAGAAACACUUUUUUUUUUUUUUUAACAAGAAUUCACUCUUUUUUUUUCUUUUAGAGGAAAAAUGAGUAAUUCUGCAUAGUGGCUUCCAUAUUUAAUUAUGGGAUUGUAACAACCGGACUGAAUUUUAAUUAAACCCACCUUUGACUGGGAAGGGUUCUAGGAUGGUAGGAGAAUUAAAGAGAAAC